rnacentral:misc_RNA from 1 species
GAUGAAGAACGCAGCGAAAUGCGAUAAGUAAUGUGAAUUGCAGAAUUCAGUGAAUCAUCGAAUCUUUGAACGCACAUUGCGCCCCUUGGUAUUCCGAGGGGCAUGCCUGUUCGAGCGUCAUUAUAACCCCUCAAGCUCAGCUUGGUGUUGGGGCCUGCUGCACUGGCAGCCCUUAAAAUCAGUGGCGGCGCCAUCUGGCUCUAAGCGUAGUAAUUCUUCUCGCUAUGGAGUCCUGGUGGAUGCUUGCCAUCAACCCCCAAUUUUUACAGGUUGACCUCGGAUCAGGUAGGGAUACCCGCUGAACUUAAGCAUAUCAAUAAGCGGAGGA